rnacentral:tRNA from 1 species
GGCGAGGUAGCUCAGGCCGGUAGAGCACUCGACUGAAAAUCGAGGUGUCGCGGGUUCAAAUCCCGCCCUCGCCA